AUACGGAGGGGGUUAGCGUUGUUCGGAAUUACUGGGCGUAAAGCGCACGUAGGCGGACUGGAAAGUUGGGGGUGAAAUCCCGGGGCUCAACCCCGGAACUGCCUCCAAAACUCCCAAUCUAGAGAUCGAGAGAGGUGAGUGGAAUUCCAAGUGUAGAGGUGAAAUUCGUAGAUAUUUGGAGGAACACCAGUGGCGAAGGCGGCUCACUGGCUCGAUACUGACGCUGAGGUGCGAAAGCGUGGGGAGCAAACAGGAUUAGAAACCCCAGUAGUCC
rnacentral:rRNA from 1 species